AUUGAACGCUGGCGGCAGGCCUAACACAUGCAAGUCGAGCGGAUGAGAGGAGCUUGCUCCUUGAUUUAGCGGCGGACGGGUGAGUAAUGCCUAGGAAUCUGCCUGGUAGUGGGGGAUGACGUCCGGAAACGGGCGCUAAUACCGCUUACGUCCUACGGGGGAAAGCAGGGGCCCUUCGGGCUUUGCGCUAUCAGAUGAGCCUAGGUCGGAUUAGCUAGUUGGUGGGGUAAUGGCUCACCAAGGCGACGAUCCGUAACUGGCCUGAGAGGAUGAUCAGUCACACUGGAACUGAGACACGGUCCAGACUCCUACGGGAGGCAGCAGUGGGGAAUAUUGGACAAUGGGCGAAAGCCUGAUCCAGCCAUGCCGCGUGUGUGAAGAAGGUCUUCGGAUUGUAAAGCACUUUAAGUUGGGAGGAAGGGUUGUAGAUUAAUACUCUGCAAUUUUGACGUUACCGACAGAAUAAGCACCGGCUAACUUCGUGCCAGCAGCCGCCGUAAUAC
rnacentral:rRNA from 1 species